GCGCCCAUAGCUCAGUUAUCAGAGCGGUGGGACGGUACCCCACGGUCCCGGGUUCAAGACCCGGCGGACGCU